rnacentral:rRNA from 1 species
UACGUAGGGGGCGAGCGUUGUCCGGAAUUAUUGGGCGUAAAGAGCGUGUAGGCGGUUCGGUAAGUCUGCCGUGAAAACCUGGGGCUCAACCCUGGGCGUGCGGUGGAUACUGCCGGGCUAGAGGGUGGUAGAGGCGAGUGGAAUUCCCGGUGUAGCGGUGAAAUGCGCAGAUAUCGGGAGGAACACCAGUAGCGAAGGCGGCUCGCUGGGCCAUUCCUGACGCUGAGACGCGAAAGCGUGGGGAGCGAACAGG